rnacentral:rRNA from 1 species
GAGCGGCGGACGGGUGAGUAAUGUCUGGGAAACUGCCUGAUGGAGGGGGAUAACUACUGGAAACGGUAGCUAAUACCGCAUAACGUCGCAAGACCAAAGAGGGGGACCUUCGGGCCUCUUGCCAUCAGAUGUGCCCAGAUGGGAUUAGCUAGUAGGUGGGGUAACGGCUCACCUAGGCGACGAUCCCUAGCUGGUCUGAGAGGAUGACCAGCCACACUGGAACUGAGACACGGUCCAGACUCCUACGGGAGGCAGCAGUGGGGAAUAUUGCACAAUGGGCGCAAGCCUGAUGCAGCCAUGCCGCGUGUAUGAAGAAGGCCUUCGGGUUGUAAAGUACUUUCAGCGGGGAGGAAGGUGUUGAGG